rnacentral:rRNA from 1 species
AUUGAACGCUGGCGGCAGGCCUAACACAUGCAAGUCGAGCGGAUGAAGGGAGCUUGCUCCUGGAUUCAGCGGCGGACGGGUGAGUAAUGCCUAGGAAUCUGCCUGGUAGUGGGGGAUAACGUCCGGAAACGGGCGCUAAUACCGCAUACGUCCUGAGGGAGAAAGUGGGGGAUCUUCGGACCUCACGCUAUCAGAUGAGCCUAGGUCGGAUUAGCUAGUUGGUGGGGUAAAGGCCUACCAAGGUGACGAUCCGUAACUGGUCUGAGAGGAUGAUCAGUCACACUGGAACUGAGACACGGUCCAGACUCCUACGGGAGGCAGCAGUGGGGAAUAUUGGACCAUGGGCGAAAGCCUGAUCCAGCCAUGCCGCGUGUGUGAAGAAGGUCUUCGGAUUGUAAAGCACUUUAAGUUGGGAGGAAGGGCAGUAAGUUAAUACCUUGCUGUUUUGACGUUACCAACAGAAUAAGCACCGGCUAACUUCGUG